UAUGCGUUGUUGGGUAGGGGAGCGUUCUGUAAGCCGUCGAAGGUGUGCUGUGAGGCAUGCUGGAGGUAUCAGAAGUGCGAAUGCUGACAUAAGUAACGAUAAAGCGGGUGAAAAGCCCGCUCGCCGGAAGACCAAGGGUUCCUGUUCAACGUUAAUCGGAGCAGGGUGAGUCGACCCCUAAGGCGAGGCCGAAAGGCGUAGUCGAUGGGAAACAGGUUAAUAUUCCUGUACUCGGUGUUACUGCGAAGGGGGGACGGAGAAGGCUAUAUCAGCCGGGCGACGGUUGUCCCGGUUUAAGCGUGUAGGCGGAG
rnacentral:rRNA from 1 species